rnacentral:rRNA from 1 species
GAUGAACGCUGGCGGCGUGCCUAAUACAUGCAAGUCGAGCGAACGGACGAGAAGCUUGCUUCUCUGAUGUUAGCGGCGGACGGGUGAGUAACACGAGGAUAACCUACCUAUAAGACUGGGAUAACUUCGGGAAACCGGAGCUAAUACCGGAUAAUAUUUUGAACCGCAUGGUUCAAAAGUGAAAGACGGUCUUGCUGUCACUUAUAGAUGGAUCCGCGCUGCAUUAGCUAGUUGGUAAGGUAACGGCUUACCAAGGCAACGAUGCAUAGCCGACCUGAGAGGGUGAUCGGCCACACUGGAACUGAGACACGGUCCAGACUCCUACGGGAGGCAGCAGUAGGGAAUCUUCCGCAAAGGGCGAAAGCCUGACGGAGCAACGCCGCGUGAGUGAUGAAGGUCUUCGGAUCGUAAAACUCUGUUAUUAGGGAAGAACAUAUGUGUAAGUAACUGUGCACAUCUUGACGGUACCUAAUCAGAAAGCCACGGCUAACUACGUG